rnacentral:rRNA from 1 species
UGGUGGAGUGAUUUGUCUGGUUAAUUCCGUUAACGAACGAGACCGCCGCCUGCUAAAUAGUUCUACCAAUGGUUUUUCAUUGGUAAGAGCUUCUUAGAGGGACGUUCAUUCUACAAGAGGAAGGAAGAUGGCGGCAAUAACA